GAAUAUUGGGCAAUGGACGCAAGUCUGACCCAGCCAUGCCGCGUGCAGGAUGAAGGCCUUCUGGGUUGUAAACUGCUUUUAUCUAGGAAGAAAACGCCCAUGCGUGGGAAACUGACGGUACUAGAUGAAUAAGCACCGGCUAACUCCGUGCCAGCCGCCGCGGUAAUACGGAGGGUGCAAGCGUUGUCCGGAUUUAUUGGGUUUAAAGGGUGCGUAGGCGGCCCGGUAAGUCAGUGGUGAAAGCCUCCAGCUCAACUGGAGAACUGCCAUUGAUACUGCCGGGCUUGAGUACAGACGAGGUUGGCGGAAUUGAUUGUGUAGCGGUGAAAUGCAUAGAUACAAUCAAGAACUCCGAUUGCGUAGGCAGCUAACUAGGCUGUAACUGACGCUGAGGCACGAAAGCGUGGGGAGCGAACAGG
rnacentral:rRNA from 1 species